CUGACGAGUGGCGGACGGGUGAGUAAUGCUUGGGAAUCUGGCUUAUGGAGGGGGAUAACUACGGGAAACUGUAGCUAAUACCGCGUAGAAUCGGAAGAUGAAAGUGCGGGACCGCAAGGCCGCAUGCCAUGAGAUGAGCCCAAGUGGGAUUAGGUAGUUGGUGGGGUAAAGGCCUACCAAGCCUGCGAUCUCUAGCUGGUCUGAGAGGAUGGCCAGCCACACUGGAACUGAGACACGGUCCAGACUCCUACGGGAGGCAGCAGUGGGGAAUAUUGCGCAAUGGGGGGAACCCUGACGCAGCCAUGCCGCGUGAAUGAAGAAGGCCUUCGGGUUGUAAAGUUCUUUCGGUAUUGAGGAAGGGAUGUGUGCUAAUAGUACAUAUCAUUGACGUUAAAUACAGAAGAAGCACCGGCUAACUCCGUGCCAGCAGCCGCGGUAAUACGGAGGGUGCGAGCGUUAAUCGGAAUAACUGGGCGUAAAGGGCACGCAGGCGGUUAUUUAAGUGAGGUGUGAAAGCCCCGGGCUUAACCUGGGAAUUGCAUUUCAGACUGGGUAACUAGAGUACUUUAGGGAGGGGUAGAAUUCCACGUGUAGCGGU
rnacentral:rRNA from 1 species